GCUGGCGUAGCUCAGUCGGCAGAGCAACUGAUUCGUAAUCAGUAGGUCGGGAGUUCGACUCUCCCCGCCAGCU
rnacentral:tRNA from 4 species